CUGAAACUAGUGAUUAUAGAAGCUGAUCAGUGUUGAGGUGAUAGCUCAGCUGAAACUAGUGAUUAUAGAAGCUGAUCAGUGUUGAGGUGAUAGCUCAGCUGAAACUAGUGAUUAUAGAAGCUGAUCAGUGUUGAGGUGAUAGCUCAGCUGAAACUAGUGAUUAUAGAAGCUGAUCAGUGUUGAGGUGAUAGCUCAGCUGAAACUAGUGAUUAUAGAAGCUGAUCAGUGUUGUCGUGAUAGCUCAGCUGAAACUAGUGAUUAUAGAAGCUGAUCAGUGUUGAGGUGAUAGCUCAGCUGAAACUAGUGAUUAUAGAAGCUGAUCAGUGUUGAGGUGAUAGCUCAGCUGAAACUAGUGAUUAUAGAAGCUGAUCAGUGUUGAGGUGAUAGCUCAGCUGAACACAGCUUGUUUCCAAAGAUAAGUGUGUACAAUAGCCGUCUGUAUGGUAGAUGUGUUCUCACUGAAGUACCACUCAUAUACCAGUAGGGGUCUGUUUAGGCAGGAAUUGUACUUUUGGCUUCAGAUUUAAUUUCAAUGUAGAUAUUUCUUUAUUUAGGUUAAUGAUGUUGAAACAAUGACGUUGUUUGAAACAUACAAUUUUAGUUUCAACAUUGAAACAUGGUAUAAAAUAUAUAUGUCUAUAUAUAUAUAUAUAUAAUCAGAUUCCUCACCCGGCCAGUUGCAAUGUGAAUAUCGGAAGUUAAUAGUUGUAUCCCUUUGGAGAAAAUCACUUCCUGCUUGAGGAAUAAGUUAAAGACAUUUUACAGAAUUUGGCAACCUUUUAUUGACUAUAUGGAGAAUCUCCCCCCACAUCUCAUUGAUUGAAUCUAUAUAUAAUCCUCACAUAAUGUCUCACACGUAAUGUAUAUUAUGUAGCCUACGGCAGGUGAUCCAAUGUCUCAUUUUUUUUUCUUAUUGUAUGUUUGUAUAUAUAAUUAUAAUUAUAAUUAUUUAUUUGUUA